UUCGGUAAGCUAGUCAAUUCAGAAUCAUAGCCCCGAGAACAAAGUCUAUUUGGUGUCCGAUACCUCAGAAAGGAGGCAAUCUGCUAGGCACUUCUUCUGGGAAAAUGUCUUCAAAUUCCUGAAGCAAAAAAGCAAUAGACAAAGGGAAAGAGUUAUCAAGUUCGUUAGCAUCGAAUAAACAUUCCUUGUACAUAAGUACAAACACGAGCUGGUGCAACAACAAGAACUUCCUUAUUUCUUUUUCCCUCG
rnacentral:lncRNA from 1 species